GCUCCUAGGUAUGCCUCAUCAAAUUCCCAUGACAUUCAAAUCACCAUCAUAAUCACCUGCUGCUUUCCCAACCUUGCAGAGAACUUUCAUGGCUGCACCCAAAAGUUUGAUGGCCAGAAUGCAUUGGAAUGAGCAGAAAUCCUUCCCAAGCCCUCAGGAUGCCAUAUCGGCAGGGCUUUGAUGCAAACAAAAUAUAGCCAAAGAGUCUUUAUCGCAAUCCCAAGUCCUUAUGCGAACAGGCCACUCAUCAUCAGCGGCAGGCAGGAGCUGACGAGAUGCGUGAGAAGGGGUUUGCAGGAGGGCAUCAACAGCUACGUGAGAGACGAGAUCUAGCCUGGCUGGGCGAUGGACAGACAUAUGAUGGCUGACAUUUUUAUUGCUGGUUCCUAUUCCUGAAUACUGCUGGUGUAGAAGAUCAAAGGGACAGGAUUGUUUGGUGCCAGGGCUGUGGACUUCUUGCGUUACCUUUCGCAUAAGACAUGGGGAACUGUACCUGUUACUUGCUGCCAGUGCCAAUCUUAUCUACUACCGGAGCUAUCUGGAAGGUGCAAUGCUCACUUGAAUGAUUCAGAGCAGGUCAGUCAUGUCUGUUCUUGCAAAGUCCAGACUCCUUGAUUUACGUGUUGACUGUGACUCUAACUUGGGGUGAGUCGGUUGGUUCACAGAGCAGAUGCAAGGUAAGGAUGGUUUCACUCUAACUCUUUCCCCCCUGAAAGCAGAGCUAUAACUAGCUUGAACCACUUGUCUCAGAAUGCAAACCUGAAUUCGGUGUAGUAUCACUGACAUAAACAACGUUCUCGUCUGCUGAUUGAAAAGCUAAUAAAAAUAUGUGAAUAAAAUCUGCAUUCACUCAGCAUUCAGAAUCUCUCUGCCUAGUAAUGGAGGUUAACAGCUACCUUUUGUACCUUGGCCUGAGGGUAAUUGUGCAAAACACGGUUUAACUUGGAUACUGGUUUCUUGGUAGCCUGGGUGUGUCUGACUCUACAGCUGUUCCUUCUGGUGAUGUUUCUUUGGCCUGCAGACUGUAGAGCAGCAUUCAAUGGAAAUGUCCUCUAUCCUUCUUGUUGAAUGUGUGUACUCUCAGGAAUGCAAGAUCUGUGAGGCUAAAGGGCAAACAAGCAAGAAAGUAUCUGUUUUGUGGCUUAACUGAAAAAAUACUCCUCAAAAAAAGGUAGAAGUUUUGGGGUAUUUCUCUUGUUAAUACGGUUUUAUUCCACUGGGUGGAAAGGUUUUGAGGACAUCAGGUUACACAUCU